UAGGAGGCAGCUCAUCUGGCCGUGCAGCAGACCACGUCCUGAGCGGGUCGGUGACGGCGGUUGCAGCUGGUGCACGAUGGCGAUUCCAACGACAACAGGAAUCUGCAACUUGUUAGACUUCUUUGCAACCCCAACAAGGCCCUCAUCUGCUUUGUCUACAUAUAUGCAUGAUUUCUAUGAUUGGAAUCAGAUAGCACUAACUAUGUGUCAGACUGCUAAUAUUUAUUUGCUUGAUGAUCCUUGAAGCGCACUCUACGCUCAUACAUGAUCCCACAUAUUCUAGAUGCUUUCUUGAGGCUUUGGCUAAAAAUCUGUGGUGUACGUCACUCAUCAGGUAACUCUGACGGGCUAAUGCCUUAAGCUGGGACAUACAACAAAAUACUUAUUUUAUGGGAGGAGUUUAUGGAACUGGGUAGUGCUCAUCAGGAUGCUCUUGCAGCAAUUGACACAAUCGAUGUGGCUAAUGGAGCCAGUGAGUAACCUUGCCACCCUUCAGUAUGGUUCCUAUCUUUAGACAGUCACAUCCACGUUCGUACUUUUAGAAUAGUUGUUGCAACGGGGAAGAGCAUUUCUGCAAUAGCAAGAUAUCAGGACCCAAUGGGCAUAGGCCGAACCAACCACCAUCACUAUUGCUUCAGGA